GGGGAUCAGCAUGGGAGGGGAGGUAUGAUAGUGAGAGGGGCUGAGACAGUAGCAGAGCGAGCCAGAGGCAGGGAGGAGGCAACGAAGGAGCAGCUCUCCUCCUGACUCUCCAUCCCAGACAGAGCAGAGAGGAGGAAAGGAGAAGACCGAGGGGGGGAGAGAAGUCGACAGUCCCGCCUGACUGGUGCAUCCCAGCAGCCCUCCUGAAGUUAAAACCAAGAACGCCCGCUUUGAGGUCAAGAGGACAUGAUGUGCCAUGACGGGUGUUCGCUGUGACCGAACCUGAAAACCUGUCGGAGGACUGACUGUCCCGAACACACAGGAGCUGAUGCGGAGACCUUGCGACACCGGGAGCCUGAACGCCGGCGUCCACGCUCACCUGACACAAGGAUUUGUUUCAGAUAACACAAGAGUGCAGACAGGAGGCCUGAACAUACAGUAUUCACACUUCACACACAUGAACACGAAGCCUGGCUCAUCAAACCUUUCUUUAAGUAAAAUCUUGCAAUAUGAAAAUACUCCAAUACAAGUUAAAGUCAUGCAUUCAAAAGUAAACGUACUCAUUAUGCAGAAUCACUCCUUUCUGUUGUGAGUACUGAUGCAUAAACUGCUGGUUAAGGUCAAUUUAAACUACUUAUUAUUCUAUAUCUAUGAUAAUAAUGCAUCAUAAUUAAUAAUAUAAUGGUGAUAGAGAAAGUACUGAUAUCCUUUACUUAAGUAAAAAUACUACCUUAAAGUCCUGCCUUGCUCAAGUAAAGAUAUAUAUCAGGAAAAAGUACUUAAAGUAUCAAAAGUAAAAGUACUCACUGUAUAAAAAUGGCCUCUGUUGUAUAUUAUUAGGUUAUCAUGCAUUUUAAUGUUGUAGCUGGUUGAACUUCUACUUUAGUUCAUGAAAAUGCAACAUAUUUAUAAGAUUAUCAUUUAUUUAUGUUUCCAAAAUCUUAAUCUGCACAUUAAUUAGUAGAUACAGCUGCAAAAUAAGUGUAGUGAAGGUAAAAAUGCACAUAUUUCUCCCUGAUAUGCAGAGCAGUACCUCAAGACUGUGCUCAAGUAUGAAUGUAAUUAGUUACUUUGCAUCGCUGGUACACUGGACCACAUUAUUUGUGUCAGGCUGUUUCUAUUGUGGUUUUCUACUAGAAUCUAGUGAAUAUACAUAGAAUAGAAAUCAGCUAAUCACGCUGAAUUCUUACUUUUUUGCAGGUUAAUAUUAGAACAGAACUGUAGCGACCGUUCGUCUGUAGUAGAAUACAUAUCAUCAUCAGACCUUUAUGCUCAGGAAACUGAGAAUGUGGAAAUCCAGCCUUAAUUCAGUCUAAUUAGUAAAAUGAAAUGUAAUCUGUUACCUCACUGCUCACGCCUUACCUCAUGAGGAUUCGUGAGGAUCCUCAGGUCCGUUCUUCAGUGUGUCAGCUACCCACCACCUCCUCCUCCUCCUCCUCCUCCUCCUCCACC